rnacentral:rRNA from 1 species
AACGAACGCUGGCGGCAUGCCUAACACAUGCAAGUCGAACGAGAUCUUCGGGUCUAGUGGCGCACGGGUGCGUAACGCGUGGGAAUCUGCCCUUUGGUUCGGAAUAACAGUUGGAAACGACUGCUAAUACCGGAUGAUGACGAAAGUCCAAAGAUCUCUCGCCAGAGGAUGAGCCCGCGUAGGAUUAGCUAGUUGGUGUGGUAAAGGCGCACCAAGGCGACGAUCCUUAGCUGGUCUGAGAGGAUGAUCAGCCACACUGGGACUGAAACACGGCCCAGACUCCUACGGGAGGCAGCAGUGGGGAAUAUUGGACAAUGGGCGAAAGCCUGAUCCAGCAAUGCCGCGUGAGUGAUGAAGGCCUUAGGGUUGUGAAGCUCUUUUACCCGGGAUGAUAAUGACAGUACCGGGAGAAUAAGCUCCGGCUAACUCCGUGCCAGCCGCCGCAGUAA